UGAGGAACAUGACCUUCGGCGGGGGAUAGCCGGCCCAACGGCCGGGUAAUAUCGCGUACGACCACAUGGGGACAUCCCUGAGUGGUGAAAGCAGCAAUGCGCCGAUGGAGUGCCUCGCGGCCUAUCAGCUAGUUGGUGAGGUAACGGCUCACCAGGGCGACGACGGGUANCUGGUCUGAGAGGAUGGCCAGCCACAUUGGAACUGAGACACGGUCCAGAUCCGUA
rnacentral:rRNA from 1 species